rnacentral:rRNA from 1 species
UACGGAGGGAGCUAGCAUUGUUCGGAAUUACUGGGCGUAAAGAGCACGUAGGCGGUUACUCGCGUUAGAGGUGAAAUUCCAGAGCUCAACUCUGGAACUGCCUUUGAUACGGGGUAACUAGAAUAUUAGAGAGGAUAGCGGAAUUCCGAGUGUAGAGGUGAAAUUCACAGAUAUUCGGAGGAACACCAGUGGCGAAGGCGGCUAUCUGGCUAAUAAUUGACGCUGAGGUGCGAAAGCGUGGGUAGCGAACAGG